AUCCUUCUUGUUCAAAGAAAAUGAUGAUUUGUCAGUUCACGAGUUUUCGUGAAAUGUGCAGUCUUCUUGUUACGUGUGCACAUUGCCCGUCUGAUC